CUGCAACUCGACUACAUGAAGCUGGAAUCGCUAGUAAUCGCGGAUCAGAAUGCCGCGGUGAAUACGUUCCCGGGUCUUGUACACACCGCCCGUCACACCAUGGGAGUCAGUAACGCCCGAAGCCGGUGACCCAACCUAUCUGGAGGGAGCCGUCGAAGGCGGGACGGAUGACUGGGGUGAAGUCGUAACAAGGUACC
rnacentral:rRNA from 1 species